UAUAUAUAUAUAUAUAUAUAUAUGUACGUUUAGAUAAGGGAUCGAGUUUUCACAUACUGUCAAGCAAUGGCUUUUAGAAAAGCAAAUAUACUUGGGUUAGAGGAGUAAAAGACACACUCUAGAUAAUGAACGUGACGGGCGGAGGUCUCUAGACAUGGGCAUGUGGCUAAAGCUGGCAUGAAGAUUAUUAAAGAGGAGAGGAUCAGGCUUUUUAUUCUUUGAGCAGAGAAGAUCAGAUUUGCAGCUGCGGAGAACAUGCAGAAGAUGAUGAUGACAAGCUAGUGAAGGGUUGCAAUGGUUGUAAUUCUCUUUACCAUCUAUCGACCACCAAUCACUAUCUUAGAUUCAAAUUUCAAUAUGAGCUUAAACAACUCCUUAAAUUUAGAGUUAGGAUGCAGACGGAGUGUCUGGGACUCGGAAACAGAAUUGAAAAGAAAGCCGCAUAUUUGCAAGAACUGGAGGAACAAACACGACCUCGUGCAACUUUCGAGGUGGAAAUAUCAAAGGAUAUGCAGCUGGUGCAUUUUGACUUCAACAGGUAAUGAGCCAUCUGAGCAUUCUGAUUUUGCUCUCUAGAGAAAAACCUUCCAAGUAAAAGCUUGAUAAUGCUUCCAUUGCAACUGCUUUCACUACUGAUGUUAUUAUUUUGUCCCCUCUUAACAGCUGGACAGACUAUGUUGAAAGUGGUUUAAUUUUGCAUUUCAUGGUUGUGUUGGUUGUUGUGUAUAGAAUUUUAAUGGAUGGUGGAUUUAAAUUUAUGUGUGUAUAUUGAUUGGUAUGUCACAAUUUGGACAUGUUUUGUGUGUACCUUGUUCAGGUGGUUUGGAUAUUGAUUGGUUGUUCAUGUUUUGACUUCAAUUUUAGUUACAUUAUUUUGAAACA